UGGGGAAUAUUGGACAAUGGGCGAAAGCCUGAUCCAGCCAUGCCGCGUGUGUGAAGAAGGUCUUCGGAUUGUAAAGCACUUUAAGUUGGGAGGAAGGGCAGUAAGCGAAUACCUUGCUGUUUUGACGUUACCGACAGAAUAAGCACCGGCUAACUCUGUGCCAGCAGCCGCGGUAAUACAGAGGGUGCAAGCGUUAAUCGGAAUUACUGGGCGUAAAGCGCGCGUAGGUGGUUCGUUAAGUUGAAUGUGAAAGCCCCGGGCUCAACCUGGGAACUGCAUCCAAAACUGGCGAGCUGGAGUAGGGCAGAGGGUGGUGGAAUUUCCUGUGUAGCGGUGAAAUGCGUAGAUAUAGGAAGGAACACCAGUGGCUAAGGCGACCACCUGGGCUCAUACUGACUCUGAGGUGCGAAAGCAUGGGGAGCAAACAGG
rnacentral:rRNA from 1 species